UUGAAAGGGAAACGAUUGAAGUCAGUCGUACCUAUGGGUAAUCAGCCUUUUGGGUGUGAUUUUGUGGAGCGUGAGGAGUUAAACGCCUUCAUGCCUGCAUAUUCGUGCACUUUGGGUGUACUUGCCCGUGUGUAAGUUAACAUCAAUUUUGGUGGUCGUAAAAUGGCUGGAGGAAUGUAGCUUCGAUCUUGUAUUGAAGUGUUAUAGCCUUCGGUAGAUGUGACGAUCGGGAUUGAGGAUUGCGACGGAUACCCUUCGGGGCUACCUGUCUGAUCUCUGAUUGUUGCUCUGGUACCGAAAGCUUGCUUACGGUUAUCAAAGUCGAUGGUCAAUAGGUUAGAACGGGUUAAAUUCGUUAAGGAUGUUGACGUA
rnacentral:rRNA from 1 species